GAUGAACGCUGGCGGCGUGCCUAAUACAUGCAAGUCGAGCGAACAGACGAGGAGCUUGCUCCUCUGACGUUAGCGGCGGACGGGUGAGUAACACGUGGAUAACCUACCUAUAAGACUGGGAUAAAUUCGGGAAACCGGAGCUAAUACCGGAUAAUAUAUUUAACCGCAUGGUUCAAUAGUGAAAGACGGUUUUGCUGUCACUUAUAUAUGGAUCCGCGCCGCAUUAGCUAGUUGGUAAGGUAACGGCUUACCAAGGCAACGAUGCGUAGCCGACCUGAGAGGGUGAUCGGCCACACUGGAACUGAGACACGGUCCAGACUCCUACGGGAGGCAGCAGUAGGGAAUCUUCCGCAAUGGGCGAAAGCCUGACGGAGCAACGCCGCGUGAGUGAUGAAGGUUUUCGGAUCGUAAAACUCUGUUAUUAGGGAAGAACAAAUGUGUAAGUAACUAUGCACGUCUUGACGGUACCUAAUCAGAAAGCCACGGCUAACUACGUG
rnacentral:rRNA from 1 species